rnacentral:rRNA from 1 species
AGAGUUUGAUCAUGGCUCAGAACGUACGCUGGCGGCACGCCUAAUACAUGCAAGUCGAACGAAGUAGCAAUACUUAGUGGCAGACGGGUGAGUAACAUGUAGGUAUCUUCCCAUUGGUGAGGAAUAACACGAGGAAACUUGUGCUAAUACCUCAUAAGUCUUUACGGAGAAAGCUUUAUGCGCCGAUGGAUGAGCCUGCACUUGAUUAGUUUGUUGGUAGGGUAAUGGCCUACCAAGACAAUGAUCAAUAGCUGAUUUGAGAGGAUGAUCAGCCACAUUGGGACUGAGACACGGCCCAAACUCCUACGGGAGGCAGCAGUAGGGAAUCUUGCACAAUGGGGGAAACCCUGAUGCAGCGAUGCCGCGUGAGUGAAGAAGGCCUUUGGGUUGUGAAGCUCUUUCGUCGGGGAAGGAAAUGACUGUACCCGAAUAAGAAGAUCCGGCUAACUUCGUGCCAGCAGCCGCGGUAAUACGAAGGGACCUAGCGUAGUUCGGAAUUACUGGGCUUAAAGAGUUCGUAGGUGGUUAAAAAAGUUGGUGGUGAAAUCCCAAGGCUUAACCUUGGAACUGCCAUCAAAACUUUUUAGCUAGAGUGUGAUAGAGGUAAGUGGAAUUUCUAGUGUAGAGGUGAAAUUCGUAGAUAUUAGAAAGAACACCAAAAGCGAAGGCAACUUACUGGGUCACUACUGACACUGAGGAGCGAAAGCAUGGGUAGCGAAGAGGAUUAGAUACCCUCGUAGUCCAUGCCGUAAACGAUGAGUGCUAGACGUUGGAAAUAUAUUUUUCAGUGUCGCAGCGAAAGCAUUAAGCACUCCGCCUGGGGAGUACGACCGCAAGGUUAAAACUCAAAUGAAUUGACGGGGACCCGCACAAGCAGUGGAGCAUGUGGUUUGAUUCGAAGAUACGCGCAGAACCUUACCAACGCUUGACAUGUUCGUCGCGACUCUAAGAGAUUAGAGUCUUCGGUUCGGCCGGACGAAACACAGGUGCUGCAUGGCUGUCGUCAGCUCGCGUCGUGAGAUGUUGGGUUAAGUCCCGCAACGAGCGCAACCCCUACUUUUAGUUGCCACCAUUUAGUUGGGCACUUUAAAAGAACUGCCAGUGAUAAGCUGGAGGAAGGUGGGGAUGACGUCAAGUCCUCAUGGCCCUUAUGUGUUGGGCUACACACGUGCUACAAUGGUACUUACAAUGGGAUGCAAAGAGGCGACUCUUAGCUAAUCCCUAAAAUGUACCUCAGUUCGGAUUGUACUCUGUAACUCGAGUGCACGAAGCUGGAAUUGCUAGUAAUCGCGGAUCAGCGCGCCGCGGUGAAU